AGACUAGUAACCGACUGUCUCUGGAGCAAGUGGCAAAAGACUUAAUGGUUGGUAUCUGAGAUCUAAGUUUGAAUUCUAGUUGAUUCACAUUUCUAGCUAAGUUUAUUUUUAAAUGAAAUAAACGAAGCGGGUAGCGUGCUAUCUAUCUCUCACAAAAAAAAAAAAAAUAAAAUAAAAUCUAAGACUAGUACCAACUGGUCCUAGCGUAAGUGCCAACGGAUUUGGUGAUUGGUACUGAGGUCUUAGAUUCGAAGUCUAGUUGUCUCACAUUUUCGACUUAAUUUAUUUCUAAAAAAAACAAAUGAAACAGAUAGGAUGCUGUUUUUCUCUCAAAACACAUCUAAGACUAGCGAAAAAAUUUGAGGCUUUGUCUCUUGGGUGGAGUUUGAGAUGUGUUUUGACAGAGGGCUUGAUGUCAAGGACCUACAAAUGUGAUUAAAUAAUAAUAAUAAUAAUAAUAAUAAUAAGGGGCAACUGUUUAUACACUUUUGAAAAGUUUUCGACUUUAUAAUUUACCCUUCUUGAAAGGCUAAUAUUGAAAAUAUCUUUUUUAUGUUCCAACCUAUUUCAAAUAUACCGCAAGAGUUAAAAUCUGUUAAUAAACUCUGUUAUUUCUAUAAAAUUACUAUUUUACCCUUUCAAAUAUAUACUUCUACCAUCACUGGCUUUUCUUAUUUGCCUUUAAGUUAGAGGCACAAAAAGUAUUUUGCUUUUUGGUGUUUUCUAAUAUACCUUACUACCAUCACAAAUAUUUCUUAUUUACCCUUAAGUUAAGGACAAAAAUGGUUUUUUAAUUUUUUUUUAAUUGUGCUAGAUAUUUAACUCACGUUUAACCCAAGUUAAUUUAACAGUUGGUAACUAUAGGGGUAUUUUAGAAUAACGGAAGAGCAUAUGAGGGUAUAUUUGAAAGAAAAAAAAGGAGGAAUAAAUGAGAUAUUUUCGAAGUUUUUAGGGGUAUAUAGGCAAUUAUCUCUAAUAAUAAUAAAAAAUAUUUUCUGUGAGAAU
rnacentral:lncRNA from 1 species